UACGUAGGAAGCAAGCGUUGUCCGGAAUUACUGGGCGUAAAGCGUGCGCAGGCGGUUGUGCAAGACAGAUGUGAAAUCCCCGGGCUCAACCUGGGAAUUGCAUUUGUGACUGCACGGCUAGAGUGUGUCAGAGGGGGGUAGAAUUCCACGUGUGAGCAGUGAAAUGCGUAGAGAUGUGGAGGAAUACCGAUGGCGAAGGCAGCCCCCUGGGAUAACACUGACGCUCAUGCACGAAAGCGUGGGGAGCAAACAGG
rnacentral:rRNA from 1 species